AGUUAUAUUAUCUGUUAAGUCUUUCUUAUUAAAUAUUUGUUAAUAAUAAUAAUAUAAAAUUCUCGUUUUAACUCAUAAUUAAUGUCGGUUGCAAAACUGUUCCAGUGUUAUAUUCAUCGGAAUCGACCCAAUCAGAAAACCUGUUAAGAAACUGUUUUACAGUAAAUAUAUAAUACAGUUUUAAAAUAUAACAAUGGACGAAGUGAAUUGUAUAUACCAUAGUUAUAUAUAUCUAACUUCCAGUGUAUGAAAGGAUGAAGCGUUUUUUCAUAAUCACGUGAAUACAUAUGUUUAAUAUCUUGUGAUUUCUGGUUCUACAGUUAAACAAGUUUCGCAGCUAUAUAAGCGUAUAAACAGUUAUAAUCAAAAUACUAUUAGACUUUAUUUCUAAUUUUGCAACACUGAAUAUAAUGUUUGAACUUUUUCGUGGGGGUUUUAAGUAAUGAUGGCAUAGUUACAAUUUAUAUACAAGUACAUCCAAACAUUUAACAUAUUGUACCGCUAGUAUACGAUUAUCAGCAAACACAAUCAAUCGUUUUAAAAUUAUAUAGAUUAUAUAUUAAUGUCCUGUUUGGAAUGUUUAUUUUGAGGAAAGGUUGUGAGAUAGUGACAGUUUAUAUACGCACAAAUAAAAAGCCAAUCACAGAGGCAUACGCUGUUGUUUUGUUUCUGCUUGAAAAAAGGCUUCCAUCUCGAUCUUAGCUCAGCCAGUUGUAUCGCGUUUUCACCAGGUGUGGUGGUGGUUUGGCUGACACCUGCUGGGUCAGCUUCAACACAUCCAGCUCUUCUGUGGAUUCAGCAGCCGGUUUCCUCGGCUUGCGGGCCAAAUCCAACGGGUUGUGUUUACCCCUCUGAGCUAUCCCUUUCGCCCAGCUAGCAUAGAACGGAUCUCUAGCUAUGGCGUCACGCGUUGUUUUGAACCCGUGUGGUAUCGAGCUCUGCCCGUGCCACGAAAGUCGCGGUCUGGCCAGAAUGUUCAGCGACGGGUUCGAUGACGUCAUGGACUGUAAUUCGUCACAUGUGCUGUGGUUGUCGUUAUCUGGGGACGCAUUUCCGGCAGGCGACUCGCCCAGACCGGAAUCCAUGCUCCGACUGCUCGACCAAGAACCAUCUUUGGUCGACAGGAGCUCGUUGUAGCUGCGAUGGUGCGGUGCUUUUAACUCGCUCGACAGGAAAGUAAAUCGCGCUGGUUUCGAUUCGGAAUCGGAAUCUGGAGCAGACGACGGUUUAAGAGUUAGAGGGACAGCUUGUAUCCUCUUCGUUAACGGCUUUGGCGACGUCUGGCUUGCUGGUUUGGGCCUGUUGAUGGCGGUGCUGGUGAGACUCUGCUUUAUGAAAGGAACCGAGCGAUGUCCGGUAUGGGCAACAGUCGUGCUUUCUGCUGGGAUCUUCACUUCUGAACUGUCGUCUGCUUGUGCAGAAGGUUCGGGACUUUUCUCGAUGUUGCGUUCUGUUGUUGGAGUGGAUGUCACGUCCCUCAGCACCUCUCCAGUUUUAGUGUUGUAAACGUAGGGUUCCUGAGUUGCUGUAAAGGCUAAUGUUGCAUUUAAAACCAUUAUUAUAAACAGCAAAUCACAGUGAAGAUGAUUAUGACAAUUAUCGCCACGAUAACAAGAACGAUAACUGCAAUUCCUUCCGGCGAGGUGAGGAAAUCUGCGGCACUGCUGUAACUUCCGUCCUGGUAUGGCAUGACGAGCUCGAU